GACCCAGUAGUGUAACGGUAACACACUUACCACCAAUUAGCCCUCCAAAAUGUUUUCUGUCAGAAAUCCCUGUUCAACUCAGGGCUGGGUCA